UGGGGAAUUUCGGACAAUGGGCGCAAGCCUGAUCCAGCAAUGCCGCGUGCAGGACGAAGGCCUUCGGGUUGUAAACUGCUUUUGUACAGAACGAAAAAGCCCUCUCUAAUACAGAGGGUGCCUGACGGUACUGUAAGAAUAAGCACCGGCUAACUACGUGCCAGCAGCCGCGGUAAUACGUAGGGUGCAAGCGUUAAUCGGAAUUACUGGGCGUAAAGCGUGCGCAGGCGGUAUUGUAAGACAGAGGUGAAAUACCUGGGCUCAACCUGGGAACUGCCUUUGUGACUGCAAUGCUGGAGUGCGGCAGAGGGGGAUGGAAUUCCGCGUGUAGCAGUGAAAUGUGUAGAUAUGCGGAGGAACACCGAUGGCGAAGGCAAUCCCCUGGGCCUGCACUGACGCUCAUGCACGAAAGCGUGGGGAGCAAACA
rnacentral:rRNA from 1 species